rnacentral:rRNA from 1 species
AGAUGCAUCUUCUUUUUAGUAGCACAUUCCAUAAGAACUCCACAAUUAAGCGUGCUUGACUUGGAGUAGUAUUUGGAUGGGUGACCUACCGGGAAAUUUCCCGUUAAGCGUGCAAGUU